GCCCGCGUAGCUCAGGGGAUAGAGCGUCUGCCUCCGGAGCAGAAGGCCGCAGGUUCGAUUCCUGCCGCGGGCACCA
rnacentral:tRNA from 2 species